UACGUAGGGGGCAAGCGUUGUCCGGAUUUAUUGGGCGUAAAGAGCGUGUAGGCGGCUUUACAGGUCCGUUGUGAAAACUCGAGGCUCAACCUCGAGACGCCGGUGGAAACCGUAAGGCUAGAGACCGGAAGAGGAGAGUGGAAUUCCUGGUGUAGCGGUGAAAUGCGCAGAUAUCAGGAGGAACACCCGUGGCGAAAGCGGCUCUCUGGGACGGUACUGACGCUGAGACGCGAAAGCGUGGGGAGCAAACAGG
rnacentral:rRNA from 1 species